rnacentral:tRNA from 1 species
GCCAAGAUAACUCAGUUGGUAGAGCAGAGAACUGAAAAUCCUUGUGCCAUUGGUUCAAAUCUGGUUCCUGGCA